rfam:Oryctolagus cuniculus chromosome 12, whole genome shotgun sequence.
CCAAAGGCUCUUUUCAGGGCCAUCCACUGUUUCACAAAAAAGCUG